UACGAACGCUGGCGGCGUGCUUAACACAUGCAAGUCGAACGGAAAGGCCCUGCUUUUGUGGGGUGCUCGAGUGGCGAACGGGUGAGUAACACGUGAGUAACCUGCCCUUGACUUUGGGAUAACUUCAGGAAACUGGGGCUAAUACCGGAUAGGAGCUCCUGCUGCAUGGUGGGGGUUGGAAAGUUUCGGCGGUUGGGGAUGGACUCGCGGCUUAUCAGCUUGUUGGUGGGGUAGUGGCUUACCAAGGCUUUGACGGGUAGCCGGCCUGAGAGGGUGACCGGCCACAUUGGGACUGAGAUACGGCCCAGACUCCUACGGGAGGCAGCAGUGGGGAAUAUUGCACAAUGGGCGGAAGCCUGAUGCGGCAACGCCGCGUGCGGGAUGACGGCCUUCGGGUUGUAAACCGCUUUCGCCUGUGACGAAGCGUGAGUGACGGUAAUGGGUAAAGAAGCACCGGCUAACUACGUG
rnacentral:rRNA from 1 species